UAGAGGUCCGCCUGCCUGUGACUAUAAGUUUAACGGCCGCGGUAUUUUGACCGUGCGAAGGUAGCGCAAUCACUUGUCUUUUAAUUGGAGACCUGUAUGAAUGGCAUAACGAGGGCCUAACUGUCUCCUUUUUCAAGUCAAUGAAAUUGAUCUUNCCGUGCNGAAGCGGGAAUAAACACAUAAGACGAGAAGNCCCUAUGGAGCUUUAGACAAAAGCAGGCCAUGUUAAGCACCCUCAAACAAGAGGCCAAACCCGAUGUCUUACUGCCUAGCGUCUUUGGUUGGGGUGACCGCGGCGAAACAAAAAACCCCCGUGUAGAAAGAGGGCUCUCCCCUUCAAAUCAAGAGCUACCGCUCGAACGAUCAGGAUACCUGACUAAAAAAGAUCCGGCAAUGCCGAUCAACGGACCGAGUUACCCUAGGGAUAACAGCGCAAUCCCCUUCUAGAGCCCAUAUCGACAAGGGGGUUUACGACCUCGAUGUUGGAUCAGGACAUCCUAAUGGUGCAGCCGCUAUUAAGGGUUCGUUUGUUCAACGAUUAAAGUCCUACGUGAUCUG
rnacentral:rRNA from 1 species